CCUACGGGAGGCAGCAGUGGGGGAUAUUGCACAAUGGGGGAAACCCUGAUGCAGCGACGCCGCGUGGGUGAAGAAGUGCCUCGGCGCGUAAAGCUCUGUCAGCAGGGAAGAAAAUGACGGUACCUGACGAAGAAGCCCCGGCUAACUACGUGCCAGCAGCCGCGGUAAUACGUAGGGGGCAAGCGUUAUCCGGAUUUACUGGGUGUAAAGGGGGCGCAGACGGCGAGGCAAGCCAGGAGUGAAAGCCCGGGGCCCAACCCCGGGAGUGCUCUUGAAACUGCGUGGCUAGAGUGCAGGAGAGGCAAGCGGAAUUCCUGGUGUAGCUGUGAAAUGCGUAGAUAUCAGGAGGAACACCGGUGGCGAAGGCGGCCUACUGGACUGCAACUGACGUUGAGGCCCGAAAGCGUGGGGAGCAAACAGGAUUAGAUACCCUAGUAGUC
rnacentral:rRNA from 1 species